rnacentral:rRNA from 1 species
CCUACGGGAGACAGCAGUAGGGAAUCUUUCACAAUGGGCGAAAGCCUGAUGGAGCAACGCCGCGUGCAGGAUGACUGCCCUACGGGUUGUAAACUUCUUUUAUAAAGGAAUAUAGUGAGGCACGUGUGCCUUUUUGUAUGUACUUUAUGAAUAAGGAUCGGCUAACUCCGUGCCAGCAGCCGCGGUAAUACGGAGGAUCCGAGCGUUAUCCGGGUUUAUUGGGUUUAAAGGGAGCGUAUAUGGGUUGUUAAGUCAGUUGUGAAAGUUUGCGGCUCAACCGUAAAAUUGCAAUUGAUACUGGCAGUCUUGAGUACAGUUGAGGUAGGCGGAAUUCGUGGUGUAGCGGUGAAAUGCUUAGAUAUCACGAAGAACUCCGAUUGCGAAGGCAGAUUACUAAACUGCCACUGACAUUGAUGCUCGAAAGUGUGGGUAUCAAACAGGAUUAGAUACCCGAGUAGUC